AAAGAGAUACAUUACCUUGUUGCUUCAAACUGAGCUUGUGAUACAAGACUUCUUACCAGCCUACAGAAAAUAUUGACUAGGAUAGGUCAGGGGUGAGUCUCUCCCUCUUGCCUCUAAGAACUUCCCCCUAAGUUGACAGGGAGCCAUCUAUCUAAAGAUUGUUGGUUACUGGAUCAGUUGCCUAUAGAUCCAUCUAAUCACAUUUGCCUAGGUCCAGUCUUAUCACAUCUCUUCAUUGGUGAACUGGUACUCAUCUUCAAGAUAAUCAACAACAGUCAACAGUAGGUUCUAGUUAGAAGCAAAUUGAAGGGUUUUGUUGAGUAAUUCCUGAGACCUUAAUUUAUUCUAAACAGUGAGGUGCUCUCUUGCUAGUUCCCCACCCUACAUUCAUUCCACUUUUUCCUGGUGGAGGUCAGGAUUGGAGAAAGGAAGGCAACAUCAUGCAAAACAAACUUCCUUCUUAGGACUAUCUUGCCUUGAUAUGUCAUUGAUACUCAGAUAUGCACACAAUCUGUAGGACAUUGCCCCUAAAGGGUGAUUCUUGACAGCAUUAGCAGUGACUAGAAACUUGUUACAGAAAUAAAUGCUUGGACCCUACUCUACACUUGUUGAAUCAGACACUCAGUGGUGAAUAUCUGGUACCUAUGCUUAAAUAACCCCUUUAGAUAAUUCUAAAGUCUAGCUGAGAAUCAUAGGGCAAAAUCUAUGAGGCUUGGCAAGGCUAGUGAAUAUUCAUAAGUGAUAUCAUCUGCUCACCUGGGUGUAAUUUAAUUUAUUUUAUAUAUAUAUAAUUUAUUAUUAUUGUUAUUAUUGUUAUUACUGCCCUAUCUAUACAAAAGGUUAAUGUAGGACUUAAUCAGAUCAUGAAUAUGAAAACACCUUAUACUUUACAACUGCAGGGAUGUUAUUAUGGAAAAGAAACAUUCAUAAGGGGAUCAGGAGUGUCCUGGGACCAAGGUGUUGGGGAUAUCACCUUGAUUAUUUCCUAUUAACUGAGGCUCUGAAGUAAUAGUAGUAAAAAAAAAAUUCAAGAAGCUCAAAGUCAGCUCUAAUUCUCCAAGCCAAAACGAAGGCCAGAAGUGUACAGAUUUUUUAAGGAUGUGAUAAUGCAUGGAGGAGGACUCAUGGACAUUUUUAGCUUCUAGAACCAGGUGCUGAAUUUUUUGAUUUGAAAUUCUACCUUUCUGUUCAUCAGGUAGCAAAAUGUAGUAGCAUUUUUGAAUGCUGUAUCACCAAUGAAAGCCUGUGGCUUGCAAGAUUCAGAGUCAUACUCCUUUAUAAAUUCCUAGUGCACUCAGUUUUAGUAAAGUGGCCCAUGAUCUCUUUCAUUUCCACACCAUAUUCUUAAAUAAGCAAGAAGCUCCAGGAAGCCGGCUCAAAGACAACUGAUUAUAUUCACAGAUUUUUUCAGUGGAAAGGACAUAAAUCUUAGUAGGUGGGAAUGAUUGUCUAGAUCAGGAUUGAGACUUUAUUAGAUAUCGAGGUCCAUGUUCUUAAGGAGCUGGAAAAAACUCUCACACAACCUGAUUAGAUGCAGCCAUAAUUUUCACGGAAAAUUAUCAGGAUUUUAUCCAAUCUUUUUGUAAUGAAAAUUCACAGUAUUUACCAAGGGCUCUAUAUUAGUGGAGGAAAAAAAACCUCCUUAAAAAAGAUGGCUAACCAUUCCUUUUCCUUUUUGCAUGAAAUCAUAGCGGGUAUGCCUUUUGGCCUGAGGGCUCUUCCAUCUUCUGACAAUUAAAAUCUA
rnacentral:lncRNA from 1 species